AGAAGGUGCACCAUUCGUGGAGGUACUGUAAUACCAGGUUGAUGUGUGGAGUGGAUGGAGCAAGCCCCUCUUC